rnacentral:rRNA from 1 species
UACGUAGGGUGCAAGCGUUGUCCGGAAUUAUUGGGCGUAAAGAGCUCGUAGGCGGUUUGUUGCGUCGGCUGUGAAAUCCCGAGGCUCAACCUCGGGUCUGCAGUCGAUACGAGCAAACUAGAGUGUUGCAGGGGAGACUGGAAUUCCUGGUGUAGCGGUGAAAUGCGCAGAUAUCAGGAGGAACACCGGUGGCGAAGGCGGGUCUCUGGGCAGCAACUGACGCUGAGGAGCGAAAGCGUGGGGAGCGAACAGG